rnacentral:misc_RNA from 1 species
UCUGAAACGACUAGGGUUCUUAGCCUGCUUCGAGAACUUCGAGAUCUCGAACUAAGAGGGACGGGAAGGGGGCGGGAGGCGGAGAUGGAGGCGGCGGCGGCGGAGGGGAUGAAGCGGGGGAAAGGAGGCGGGAGGCGGUGGAGGAAGGGCGGCGGCUUUGGGCGGCCGCGGAGGGUGAGGUGGGCGGAGGAAGCAGCCGUUGGUGCUGCCAUGAGAGCGGCGCCGCG